rnacentral:lncRNA from 1 species
CUGCAAUGAAACUAAUACUUCCUUAAAAAUAAAACAUGCGUUUGUGACUCAAACCAAUGAGAGUUGGAAAAGUCCCUACAAGGGAGCACUCCCUCUAUUUCUAGCUUCCCAGCACAACCUCUCCUCCCCCCACCUUAUAUUAAGAACAGAAAAGAGAGUCUUGCCGGAUAAACGUACACUUCCUAGCAGGAGAUCUGCUCCCCCUGGUUUAAUUGGGAUUGAGGAGUAAAUACGGCUAUUUUAGGCAGGAGGAUAGAAAUUAGUUUGAUGAAGAGUAAAGCGAACUCAUGCCUUAGAAUCACUUGCCAGAAAAGAAGUGUAUACACAAACAGAAUAAAACAUUGUUGAUCAGAGUUCAUUUCAGCUAGAAGUUUCUUUCCUGCCCAGCGUCCCAAACUCGGGAAAAUGUAAAAAGUUCUUUUGGCUUCUUGUAUUUGGAGCAAGGUGAAAAUAAACCCCCAGGAAAAACACAGACACAAACAUGAUAGAAACGACCCGAGACUUUUCAGGCCUACUGGCCACGCAGGCUUUUUGGACAAAAGCGUGGAUGUUGGAGAGAGUUUGGAAGGAACGGACUUUGGGGUCCCUUCGUCCCCCGGAGCUCCCCAGCCCUCCUCGUGGUCUCUUUUCAAAGCAGCCACUCAUGGGAUGCUGUGUUCUCAGGGUCCUUGGUUGUAGGGGGCAUGAGCACAGAUUUACAAAGCUUUAAGGUUUCUGAUUUUACCUCAUCUUCCUUAUAGAAAACAUCUGAGCUUAAGGAACCACAGAGCAAACUUUCUCAGUGCCCCUGCAUGGCUACACCACCACGUGAAAGAGAGACACACCUAGAAAAUCAAAACUGGUGUUGGUGUCACAAGAAAGCCAUUUAAAAAAUGCGUUGGGGAGAGGGGGGCCGAUUUCGCCUUUCCUGGACGAAUUGGCCCCGGCAGGGAAAGGAGUGCUGGCUGCAGCUGGAAGUUCGCUGUGCGGCCUGGGGUGGAACUUUCUCGGAGACGUGCAGAGAACUGGGCUCUGUCGGGAUCAUGCAUGAGAUCGGCACCCAGGCCUGUUGACAUCUCUGCCAGAGACAGCCUGGACCGCUGCCAGCCCAGGCCUGAACGUGGCCUUAGAGCCACCCCCACAGCCCCAACAAGCCCCAGACAGGUGCCCAAGGGUCUCUCCUCCUGGAGCCCGGCCCACAGCAUGUCUUGGCUAGAAGGGGGAUGUUUGGCUCCCGUGGCAGCCUCCCCAGAGACGCGGCAGGGUUUACUAUCCCGGUUACCCUGUGGGCUCUGGUGAGGAGGAACCCCACUUUGCUAAGCAGUGCCUCCCAGAUGCUCCGAGGGAGACAGAUGUGGCCGUCCUGCGAGCUCAGAGCAGAUCCGCCUGUGCAAGGGCAGAUGUGAGUCUAGAAGGCUCUGGAGCAGAGCUGUACAUUUGCAGCCCAGGCUAGAGCUCUCUCCGCUCUCCAACAACAGGGCUGCGAUCCCUCCUUUUGGGAUGGGCCGAGGGGGCGUGGCCCGGGGCCAGCAACAGAGCACGUACACAUCGGAGCUCCUGUGUGCAACUCCCCUGAGUGUGUCUGCGCCUCUUUCCAGCCAGCGGGGCUCCCACCCACCCAGCCAGGGAGCUGAGCCCUCUUCUGUCAUCAGGCAGUGAGGAAAACCAGGGCCAGGAGGGCAGGGGUGCAGCCUUGAAGUGGGAGAAGGCAUGGAGGCCAUCAGAGGGCCUGCUGGGCAGAUGAGGGGACCUGCAUCCGAGCCACCCUGGGGGGCGGCCGGAGAGAGGACGGGGUGGGCAUUCGGGGUAGCAUGCAGCCAGCAGCCGGCUCUGCCCCAGCCCCAGAAUGUGCCCGCUCAGGGAAGCUGCGCCCAGCCCUGAGUCAGCCGAUCCCACGGGACUCCCACUUGGCCCCAAUAACUGGACUCCAGGCCACCAGAACGCCUCGUGGGUUCCUGAUUGUAUCAGAAUGGCAUUAAAAGGUCCAGACCGGGCACUCGUAGGCCAUGCCAUAUUUAGCCUCAGGUUCACCCGGAGAAUAUUUUAGGUGCUGCUUGAAAGAGGAGAUCUCGGCCCAUUGCCGGCUGUCACAUGGCGAGUGUAGACUCGCUCCCUCGCAGGCCUGGUGGAGGUGGCUGGGUGCUCACUGGCACAGAUGCCCGCAGUCCCUGCCAGAGCUUUGGGGCCAUGAGACAGGUGCCAAGGAGCCAGCGAGUGCCUGGGUAGCCGGUUCUGUGCCGGGAAGGCUGUUCACCCCGUUUUCGUCCUGACGGCGAUAAGCUCGCUCCAUUCACAGGACUCACAGAGGCUGUUUCAGGCCCUCUCUCCUCUCGAUGGCCCAGUGCGAUAUGCCAGCUUGCUGAGUGAGCAGCUUCCUCCUCCGGUGUCAGCAACUGCGGAGGGGUUAACCCUUUCAAGGCCCGGGGUGCUGGCUGGCAUGGGGGUCCCGCCUCCAGGGCCCUUGAAGGCCACAUGCCAGGGGGAGCCACUGCCCUGGAUGCCUUAAUCCUCCAUCGUUAGUGGCCGGACCAGAGAGAGGGCACCCUGGACCUUAACCGUGAUUUCCUCCUUUGGCCCCAGCAGCAGCACUAACCACCAGGCUGCCCUACCCAAACCUUCGCCCUUCAGCCGUGGAAACAGCUGCUUGCUUUGCAGAUACUUUCCCCUGGGUUUCCAGGUUCAUUAACUUUCCUGCAUUCCGGAGGAGGAGGUAUUGAUGGAUUCCGGGUCCCCUUAGAUCAUUAAUGAGAGUUCGGAAUCAUCGUUCGGGGUCUUGGGGAAAUGUCCCAGGUCCCUAAGAGUUGCCUGGUGUUAGGGAAUCAGCCUUGGAAGCUGGUUUUCCAGGUCUUGGUUGUCUUGGCACAGCGGAGGCGGCCGUAUCAAAGCCACUGUGUGGAGACACAUUGAGCCAAUGAUCAGCCAGUAAUUCUCAGCCUUGGGGGAGCCUGGUGGGGCCGCCAUACACUGUGAUAGCAUUGCUUGGUUUAAAGGUUCCUCUAACUUUGCGCACUUUUUCCUUUUUAGUUUUGGCUCUUGGGACUCUGAGAGCCACCCCUUCCUGCCCGGCUGGCUCGUUACCGCAGGGAAAAUGAGGGACUUUUGGGGGCAGAUGUGUUUCCAUUCCACUAUCAUAAUGCCCCUAAAAAUCCUUAUUGCUCUUGCAGUAUUCUUCGGGGGUCCCUGGGCCAGCCGGGCGCGCGGGGAAGACGGCAGCUCUGAGUGCCUCCAGCAACUAGAAGAAGAGAGAAAGAAGUUCCCCCACAUUCUCCCUUCUGGUCCCGGGUCCAUCUCCCCUCAGAGCUCAGAACUGUUCACUGCCCGAAAAGUAAAAAGACACCAUCCACAGACACUGGUGGCUCAACAUGCCUUUUGCCCUCCGGGGGCAGAAUGUUGGAGAUCAGGCCUGGGAACAGCAGGGCAGCUGUGGCUGCUGUCAGCGUUUGCUCUGGGGGUUUGUCGGGGGAGGUGGGGAAAGUGGAACAAGUGUUACCUGUUUGACGAGGCAGGCGUAUUUCACCGUUCAGCCUGGUCCUUCCAGUGGGGCCUCUGGGAUCCUCACCUUGGCAGGGGGCCCUGGGCAGUCCUGGCUUGCUCACCUGCUCCUGAGACAGGCCACUUUCCCACUCUCUGCCUCGGUUUCCCUGUCUGCCAAGGGAGGGGCAGCACCCCAUGCUCUUGGCCUCAAAGGGUUCUUGGUUGUACCCAACAUUAUAAUGAGCUCAAGUGAUACGCAAGCUCUGAAGCUGCUUGGAAAAUGGGGAAGUCAAGUUAUUAAACAUGGGAGGUGUUGGUGCUAAUGUUUACUAAUACACACCUAACGUGCUGAGACAGUUCAGACAGGAGGGGAGACUGUCGCCCCACAGUGUAAGCACCGGUUUCUGGAAUCAGCCAGUCAGAACUCUGAGACUCUUUUGCUGUGUCACCCCAGGCAAGUGACUCAACCUCUCUGGGCCUCCAUUUCCUCACACAUGAAACCCACGUUUUGGAACAGAAGUUUGCCAAGUCUGAUAUGCACAUCUACUCAAUGAGUUUAAGUGGUACCUGGCUAAAGAUGGAAAUUAUUCUCAUAGGUAUUUCUUUGUACAGCUUAUCUCUAUUUAUGGCAAGCGGUUUGUUUUCGGUUUAGGGUAGGGAUAGACAGGCCCUUUUUUAUACCAAUUUAUGCAGGUAAAGAUAGAUGAGUUGCUGGAAAGAAAAGCAUUAAGCAAAUAAUAAUACAGGUGGCCUGAGGAUGGGGCAGAAAUCAAGAUGCCAGUUUGCAAAGUUUCAUAGGUCGGCUUACUUAAGAAUUCUUGUUUGUCUUGGGAUUUUUGCAUCCACAUAGUUGGCGUGGGGAGGAGAUGGGUGGGUUGCUAAUUCAAAUCUCUGGAGGGCUCCACCAUGGCAGUCUGAGUGUCACAAGUCUUCCCUUCUCGGGGGGAUGGGAGGGGGCCCACCUCUCUGCUCACCGACGCCAGGGAGACCCCUCAGACCUCCAGCCCUGCACCGACCCCUAGCUUUGACUUGUCUCAUUUUAGGAUCACGAUGACCCAGUGCCCUCCUUCCUGGCCAGGGCACCUCUCUGGGCCUCAGUUUUCUCAGUGAAAUGGGGAGAAUAACAAACUCUGUCCCAUAGCUGUGUGUGAAGAUGGAGGGGUUAACAGGGCUCCAUCGGGCGCUGAUCCUUCACAAACAGCACCCACUCGGAGGGCAGUGGGCCCCAGCGGCGCUGGACACGCGGGGGGCGCUCCUUCCACAGGCCACCCUGCGCCACCCGGCACCAGCUCCCUGCCCACCCCCUGGGAGGGUGGCUUUGCAGGGAAACAGCAGGCAGCCAGCAGGGGCGGACUCUGGUUUCACUUUCUGCUGUGUCAUGGAGUGGGGGGUGGCAUCGGGGCCCAGCUGGCCAGCUGGGGCGGGCACCGAGAGGCCAGCAGACAGCUGCUGGCCCAGCUGCCAGAGCACAAGCCGCGCCCCCCUGCAGCCUGCCAGGGUGGGGGCUGGGUCCUCGGGUGCCCCUUAAGGGCCUCUCCUCCCGCACGGUGGGGAGAACCCCAGGCGAGAAAAGCCAGGAGCGGGUGAGAUCGUUUCUUGAGCUGUGGGAUCCCCCAAAAGCAACUUCUCAAGUCACGCAGCCUUGAAGUUCUGAGAAGUGCAGCUGUGGGUUCUGGAUCAGGGUGCGCUGGCUGGACACCUGCUCCCUGCCUCCCUUCACUGGGCACAUGGUGGGUGAGGGCCUACUGUGUGCUAAGCAGUGUGCCAGGUGCCGGAGGUACAGCAGGGAGCAGGACAGCCCCUGCCCUCAUGGGGCUCCCAGUUAAGUCUGGGAGAUGGACAAAAGAGCGAGCAAGAAAGAAUCCCGCGUUAUGGGGGAAAUUCCAGCCUGAACGUCUGGUGCUAGCAUCUCAGGGCAGGGGCGUGCCUGCGUAUGCACGUAUGUGUGUCAGCAACGUGUCACCUCCUGGGACACAACGGUAGGUUAAGAAUACAGACCCAGGGGCCAGAGGUCCUGUGUUUGAAUUUCCACUGACUGGUGCGUGACCUCAGGCAAGUGGUCUCUCCUCUUUGGGCCUCAGUUUCCCCGUUUGUAGGUGCAAGAAUGAGAGUAUUUACAUGGUAGGGCUGCGGCGAGGAUGAAAUAAACGAGCGUCCGUAGAGAAUGGAGGACAGCGCCUGGCAUCGACCGUGUGCUGUGUAAGUCUUAGCUGUUCUCUGAGAAUAAUAAAUGCGCGCUCUUGUAAGAUGAAAUGCGGCCGUCACGGCGGGCUGAGCACAGCGGGAGUGCUGUGGGGUCCAUCCCCUCUGCCAUGCGCUUGCCAUGCUUUCUCAGGAGCCACAACCACCCCUCCGAUGCCCUUACCAUCUUGUUCAGAUGAGGAAACUGAGGCUCAGGCAGAUAAAGAGGCCUGUCCCAGGUCCCCAGCUGGAAAGGAGUUGGGCCACCAUGCAGGGCCGGCUUUGCAGUGGUGGGCCCUGCACUUGGUUUAAUGCUCUGCUGUUGUCUUAAAUUCUCAAUCAUUUUGGAAACAGGAGCCCCGAGUUUUCAUUUUGCAAAUUAUGGAGCCCGUCCUCCCCAGACCGGACUUAGUCCAAAGCCAUCACUCUUAACGACUCCCAUCCAUAUGUCAUACAGCCGGCUCCAGAAUUUUCCAGAUCAUCGACACAGGGCUUAUGGAGGGACUGAAAUCCUGGGAAGAAUAUGAAGCCUUUCUCCUGGGCUCAACUGCCCAAGUGCCUGUUUGUCUGUGGCCCCAGUGGAAGGCAGGCGGGGAGGGCAGGGCUGGGACUCAUUCAUUGCCAUGUCCCCAGGGCCUUGCUUGUAUUAGCUGCUCAGUUAAUAGUUGUGAAAACAGGUGAACGGGAGGCUGCUGUCUCUCAGAAACAAACCUACGUAAAUGACCCCUUCCAGGAGAGCGGGUCGUCAGGGGUGCAGUGUACACUCUGGCCGGCCCAGCAGGCUUCCGGACAACCCCUGAAGGCGUGGAGAUGCACGGCUCUCUUCCCCAUGCCCCAAACCUGUGUGCCAACACCUUUAACCGAUUACUGUUUAACAGGUUCUGGUGGGGAGCCCGGAGACAACAGAAAUAUUUAAAGACAUGCGGGCCUGGAUUCCUGAGUGCCUGGUGUUAAGAAAGAUGCAGAGUUCAGCCAAAAGAAUACGCAGGUUGUAGUUCUGGGCCAGUUCAAGUCCCAGCCCAGGGGCGGGGGCACAGUUUCUUGGACUGUUAAAUGGUAGGGUUUGGGGGCCAGCCUGGUGGUGUAGUGGUUAAGUUUGAAUGCUCCGCUUCAGCAGGUGGGGUUUCCCAAUUCGGAUCCUGGGUGUGGACCUACACAGCAGUCAUCAAGCCGUGCUGUGGCAGCAUCCUACAUACAAAAAAUAGAGAAAGAUUGGCACAGAUGUUAGCUCAGGGCCAAUCUUCCUCACCAAAAAAAAAAAAAAAAAAAAUGAUAGGGUUUGGAUUAAAGGUCCUUUUUCCUCUGAAAUUAGAGUUCUUCUACAUUCUCAAAGCUCCAAAUGAUAAAUAUGACUAAGAAGCAAAGAAUCAUCUCAAAGCCUUUAAAAUAUUUAUAACAAUAAUAAACAUUUGUAUGUUUUUGCCUGCUGAUUUCACAGGCUGUAUCUCCAUUGCUUCAGAUAACCCUGUGAAGUAGGAAUUACCCUCAUUUUCUAACAACCAUCAUAACCACCAGCAUAUAUUGAAUGCUGUAUAUGGACUAGGCACUUGACACACAGGAAGUCAUUUUAGUUGCUCAAGUGACGUAUGAGGCAGGCACUGUUAUGAGCUACUGCCUACUUAAGAAACACGCCAAAGAGAGGAACUGACUUGUCUAAGGUCACACACCCGCCAGGUGAUGAGUUGGGGUUCAAGCCUGGAUCUUCCAUCUCAGGGGUCAGCCAACUUUUUCUGGAAAGGGCCACAUACUAAAUAUUUUAGGCGUUGCAGGCCGUGCAGUCUGUGUCACAGCUGUUCCACUCUGCUGUUGUAAUAAGAAAGCAUCCACAGAUAAUACGUAAAGGAAUGGACAUAGCUGUGUGUUCCAAUAAAACUUUAUUUACAAAAACAGGAAGUGGGCCAAGUUUGGCCCACAGGUUAUGGUUUGUCCACCCUUGUGGCAGAGGCCCAAAGCUGCCUUCCAAUUAGGAAGAACAUGGCCCUGGCAGUGUGAGUCACCUGGGAGGUGACUGAGUUACAUUUCAGAGCAGAGACCGCUGGCAUGCAGGGAGAGAGUGGAGGCGAGAGAGGACAUUUCCCAGAGGCAGGAGGCUGGAGCCCAGGGCUUCCUGGCAGGAGGGGUGGGGGAAGGCAUGAUUUUUUUUUUAAACAGUUUGAUUGAGAUAUAAUUCACUUACCAUACAAUUCACCCCUUUAAAGUGCAGAGUUCAUUGGCCUUGAGUAUAUUCACAGAGUUGUGCAACUGUCAUUAUAAUCAAUUUCAGAACAUUUUCAUCACCUCAAAAAGAAACCCUGUAACCUUUACAGCAGUCACCCACCCUAAUCGUUCUGUCUCUGUAGAUUUGCCUGUUCUGGAUAUUUCAUAUACAGUCACGUGUCGCUUAACGACAGGGAUACGUUCUGAGAAAUGUGUCAUUAGGUGAUGUCAUCAUUGUUCAAACAUCACAGAGUAUAGGUACACAAACCUAGAUGGCACAGCCCACUACACACCUAGGCUCUAUGGUACUGAUCUUACAGGCCCACCAUUGCAUAUGUGGUCUGUCAUUGACCAAAACAUCCUUAUGUGGUGCAUGACCGUAAAUGGAAUCAUACAGGAUGUGGUCCUUUGUGACUGGCUGGUUUUUUUCAAAUCUCUUUAUUGUUUUGUGUUUUUUUUGGUGAGGAUGCUUUGCCCUGAGCUAGCAUCUAUUGCCAAUCUUCCUCUAUUUUGUAUACGGGAUGCUGCCACAGCAUGGCUUGAUGAGCAGUGUGUAGGUCCGUGCCCAGGAUCUGUACCCACAAAUCCUGGGCCACUGAAGCAGAGCGUGCAAACUUAACCACAAUACCACCAGGGUCCCCUGGCUUUUUUCGCAUAGCGUUAUGUUCCCAAGGUUCAUCCAUAUUGUAGCACGUGUCAGAACUUCACUUCUUUAUAUGGCCGAAUAACACUCACGUUUUAUUUAUCCCUUUGUCACUUGAUAGACAUUUGGGUUGAUGAUAUUUUGGGCUAUUAUAAUAAUGCAGCUAUGAACAUUCAUGUGUGAGUUUUUGUGUGGCCGUCCAUUUUCAUUUCUCUUGAGUAUAUACCCAGGAGUGGAAUUGCUGGGUCAUAGGGCGACUCCAUUUUAACAUUUUGAGGAAGUGCCAGAGGCACGUUUUAUACUGUGUUUUUCAGCUUUGUAGGAUGGACUGAAAGUAGAGAAAAUACUGUGAGGAGCACCCCGUAGCCAUCAUCCAGGCUCAGCGAUGAUCGCCCUUCUUCUGGGCUUGUUUCACCCCCUCCCCUUCUCCACCGUUGUUACCCACUGAGUAGUUUGAAGCCGCUUCAAACCCUGCCCGUCUUGUUCGCUUGGCUCAGAGGUCAACUUUUGCUUUUGUUCCAAGUCGUCUACACCCAUAUUCUUGGGCAGAUGGAGUUUGGGGAGAAUGGAGGAGUUGGGGCAGAGUCGAGAGUGGGUCAGUGUGGGGUGGGAAAGGAAUAGCUCCUGAGUGAUGCAGGACGGGCUGUGUAAUUUACAAAAUGAAAAUACGGAGCCCUUUGUUCAGAAAUUAUCGAGAAGUGCAAGAUGACGACAGCAGAGCAGUAUACCAAACCUGGGCCCUGUGCACGGCCCAGGUCUCGUGCCCAUGAGGCCCGGCCAAAGGGUGCCCUAGCAGCACGGAUGUGUUGGACACAGGAAUGUAGAGCCGUGGGCAUCUGGGAGAGACAAGGACCCCUUACCCCCAAUCCCUGGAAACGUUCCAAGGAAAGUUUGGGUCUCCCAUGGCACUCGGGACAGGGUUCAAGCCCGUUUCAUUUGAAUCUCUAAAAAUAAGAUGACCCCAGCUGACAUGUGGGUUGUAAGUACUUUUAAAAAAUAGCCACUUGUCUUACUAAGCCUUCUUCCCUAAGAGCCUGCAGUUGUUUUAUUUGGCCACACCAUUUUGUCCUGGGCUCUGAGCGUGCUCGGGUGUCACAGCGAAUGACAGGCUGCGGUCUGCAGAACAGAGGGCUGCUGGUUAGCAACCAACGCGCAGCAGGGAUGCCCAGGAGAGGCAGGUGGCCCUGGCACAUCUUGGCAACCAGUGUGGCACCCAGCCCCUCCCAGACAGAGCUCCACUAGCCUUCUCCAAGGAUGGUCUCCACCAACCAGAGGAACCUUAGUUCCUGCGCUUAUCUAGACUCUCCACCCAAGAAUCCACCCAGAGACUCAGAGCCCACAGUGUGUUGGAAUGGCACCCAAGGAUGUACUUGCACUAACAGAACCUCGUCAUGAAGGGGUGUGCAACUCGACUGGGAAGGACGGGCGGGGACUCAGUGAGGAAGGCACAGACGAGGAUUUGCACUCCCCCCUGUUCUCCGCGGGGUUCUCAAUGAGUGAAGGAAUGUUCAUUCAUUCAUUCCGUUAUUUGAAUGCCUAUGGUACACGACGGGGCUGUAUGCCGGCCAUGAUCAAUACAGUAACCGACGAGACAGACCCAGUUCCUACUCUUAAGGCCGGGAGAGGCAAUCAUAAACCAAACAUGAACAACAAAACAUUUUAAAUUUGAUUAAAAUAAUGUAAUGAUUGCUAAAAACAACCACAGCCACAGGUCUGAGUAAACCUGCUCGCAGCUUCCGGGUUUGUAGACAGCCAGCGUGGAUCUCAAAGCAAAGCCCAAUUUAGGACUGAGGUCGGUCUCAGCAGUGAGCUUAGAAGCAGCAAAGCCAGGAGAAGGCUCCAGAGGAGCGACUUCCCAGUGUUCUUCCAAAAGGUUGUAUCAUUCACACGCCCAUCAACAGUGUACGUGCUGUUUCCAGCACCCUCGCCCAACCUGGCAAGGACGCGGUGUGUCAGGGGAAGCAAAUCCUAAAUGAGCUGCGGAGAAACCUGCCAGUAAUUUCAGCAAAUGAAACGUGGGCCGCAGAAAGGCCAGAGGAUGGAAGAUGCUCCGGUUUUGACAAAAGGAGGUCUGCUCAGCUUGGAAUCCUCUCUCCUGUGAGUCAGGAGAUGGAAAGCUAUAUCCAGAGGGGCUGAUGAAUUGAGAGAAAAAGAAACGAGGCCAGUCCCCUGACUCAGCAGUGACACAUGAAUGAUGCUCCAUAAGUAGUCAUCCCAUGGACCAACCAAUGCCACCGUCACCUCCGACCCGGCCUCCAGCCGAAAUCACAGAAACCCUUUAUAGCCACCCUGACACCCAGUUCCCAUUUCAGACAGGCUGGUAUCCAUGAUGUCACGUGAUAGAAGAUGAUUCCAGAAAAAGACUGGUCAAGAGGCUCCUGGAGGGAGAGAUGGCAGCCAGGAUUGAGAGGUUUUUUUCUUUAUUAUACCUGUUCUGUCCACUAUUUCUUGGCUCUGUUCACAUUGCUGCUCUAGUACCAGCUCAGGGAAAAAACGAAACAAAACAUGAGCCCCAGAAUUUGAGACAAGAUAGCUGGUUGGUUUCCUCUCUGCUUGUAAUUUAAUGCUGGAAAUGUUCAUGACUUGCCUUGGCCGCAAAGGUAAUAAUAAAAGUCUGCAGCCUGAUUAUUUGGCUACUAAUUCCCUUCUUGGUGUUUUUCUUCCCCUUUCCUUAAAUUACUUCCAGAGUUCGUCCAGAUUUCUCGUUGCUAAGCUGUAAAGUUCCGGGCUUCGCAGCGCCCAUGCUGAUUGGCAGGGAGGCCCGGUCAGCUCCAAUCAGAAGCAGGUCGCCGAAAGGAGCAUCCACAACGCAGCUCGCCCCGGGGUUUUGGAAUUUUCUCGCUGACGUUAUGAACCGCAGAGGUCUUUGUCUAACUCUGCAAAACCUGUUCUCUUGAUCUUGUCUGCCUCUCUCUGGAGCGCAGGCUGUUGGGGGACGCCAGAGGUCCUGGAAUUUCCCCCGGAAGGAUGGGGAGUCCCUGGCUCACCGGUUUGGGCUCAGCGACAGAGAUGCCAGGGCCUGCUCGUGGUGGACCAUAGCCAACAGCGUGACGCUCUGCCACAGGCCGGUGAGAUGCCUCAGGCCCCCCAAAACUGACCUCUCCUCUCCCAGGCCAUCUUCUAAGCUUGGUGACUGGAGGAGGCUGAGGCAAAGGGGAUGCCACUGAAAGUGGGAUGGUUGGGGUGGAGACCACGUUUGUAAAGGACGUUAAAACACACAUGGAUGGUAGGGGCACGGUGGAGGGCCAUUCUGUGUUCCACCUCUAGAACCCCAAUGCAAAGAACCACUAUGAACUGAAACUUAUUUUUUAGACCACUCUAUUGAGGUACGACUGACUUACAAAAAGCUGUAUGUAUUUAGUGUCUACUACUUGAUGAGUUUGACAAUGAGUAGACACCCAGGAAACCAUCACCACGAUCUAUGCCAUAAACAUAGCCAUCACCUCCAGGAGUUUUCACCUGCCAUCUUUAUGAUUUUUAUUUUUGAUGAUAAGAACAUUUCACAUAAGAUCUACCCUUUUAACCAAAUGAGUAUAUGAUGCAGUGUUGUUAAUUAUCAUCACCAUGCUGAGUGUUAGAUCUCCAGCACUUAUUCAUCGGGUAUAAUUGAAACUUUGCACCCCUUGACCAAUAUCUCUGCCUUUCUCCCUCCUCCCAGCCCCUGGCAGUCCCCAUUCUACUCUCUGCUUCUACGAGUGUGACUAGUUUAGAUUCCUCAUAUAAAUGGACUCAUGUAGUAUUUGUCCUUCUGUGACUGGCUUAUUUCACUUAGCAUCAUGUCCUCCAGCUUCAGCCAUGUGUCCACGGAUGACACGAUUUCCUUCUUUUCUAAGACUGAGUAGUAUUUCAUUGUGUGUAUAAACCACAUUUUCUUUAUCCAUUCAUCCACCGAUGGACACUUAGGUUGCUACCAUGUCUUGGCUAUUGUGCCAGAAAUUGUACACACACAUCUGCUCCCAUCUCAAAACACCCAUUGGACAGACUGAGAAUGUGAUGGGCGUCUGCUGGUUUUGCUGCUGCUGCUUCCCUCUUUCACUAACGGAGAAGGCCUGCCACAGGGCAAGUCAUGUGACCCAGGCCUGGUCACAGUGAUUGGCUCUGGGGUGGGCACAUGAACAAGCUGGGCCAAUCAGAAUCUUCCUUGAGACUUUACUACCAGAACUAUAGGAAAAGUCUCCCUUCCUGCCCCUGGAUUUGCUGAGCUGGCGACCACAAUGAACACACGUGGAAGGUGACUGAGGGAGAUAUGAAGUCCCUGCAACAAGGCUUGAGCCCCAGGUGCAGCCCAGCCUUAGGGGAAGUCAGAUCCACUCCCUGGAUUUUAGUUACAGGAACAGUAAGUGCUUUGUUUAAGCCAAUUUGCCUGUGUGUCUGUUGCUUCUAACUGGCAGAGUGUAAUACAGACAUGCACUUUCUCGUUGCCGUGCGUGGCUCUGGGUUAGGCAAUUUGCAUAUAGUCCCACACAGGGGCCUCCUUAUCACCUGGUGUGGUAUUCCACUUUGCAGAUGGGGAAACUGAGGCUCAGAAGGGUGACUGCCCAGAUAAUACUGCCAGUGUGUGUUCAGGCAUUCAAACCUGGGCCGUCUAAUUGCUGGAUUCCUUGGUGGCCCCUCAAAUUCAACUUGUCCAAAACUGAAUUCAAGAGCCUCCCCUCUAGGGUCCUUCCCUCCGGGGUCCCGCAUCCUAGGGGUAGCCCCUCCCACAAACUAGUGGUGCUAACCAGAAACCAGGUGUCACCCCUGAGCCCUCCGCGCCCCUCACUCCCACAUCCAAGCCUCACUAAGUCCUGCCUGUCGACCCCCUCCGCAGCCCCAGAAGCAGUUUACUUCUCUCCCUGUCCACCUCUCCACCCCUGCCCAGCUGCCCUCAUCUCUCAAAACUUUGACCUUCGAGAACUGCCUGCCACCUGGUCCUCGCAUGUCUAUUCUUACCCCUCUACUCCGAUAGGGCUCCCCUUGGCGACCAGAGGAGUUGUCUCAAAAUGCCAAGCUGACCUCAUUGCCUUGCUGGAGGAGGCUGGGUGAUGAUCUGAUGGAACACGUUUGCCUCCGGGGAUGUUCUGAGAAUCGUGCAACCCCUUGGUCCCACCCGAUAUUCAGGCACAAAGUCAGCAAGCCUGGGAGCUGGGGAGCACGCAGCUCCCUGCAUCCGCAGCUGUCCCAUCGUUUAUUCCACAAAGAGUUUCUAGUGCCUCACAGGCACUGUCCCCUCUGCUGGGGCUCCAGAGGUGACCAACAGCAACCUGAGCGAAACUCACAGUGUGCUCGCCGCGGACCGGGUCCUGCACUCCGCGCUUCUCGCCCAUCCACUCGCUUGCUCCUCCAGCAGCCCCACAAAGCAGUGACUGUUAUUAAUCCCAUUUUAUAGAUGAGAAGGAAAAGGUGCCAGUUCUCAUGAAGCUUAUAUGCUUGUGAGGGAGAUCGACAAAAACAAGUUACACACACACAUGCACACACGCAGGCAUGCACAGACGUGACAUAAUUCAGAAAGUGAUGGACCAAGGGUGAUUCUUGGACUCAGUCCAGAGGCUUCCAGAUGCCUCCUUCUCAACUUGUAGCCUGUAACCUGUGCCAGGCCCAGGGCAAGAGUAGAAAUGGAAAGCUACCUACUGUAGGUCUACAGAUUUAAAAGUCAUAAAUCAGGUACAGGCACCCAGCCCCAAAGUUCAAGUUCUGUCCUGAGCCCCCCCAGACAGCUGCUCCUGAGCACCCCCUUAGGUUUAGGGGUGCACACACUGGGAAGCCAGUCUGCUCUCAGCAGGGCAGGUCUAGAGGAGACCCCUGAGCAGGCUUUGGAAACGGCCCAGUGCUGCUGGGGCAGGGAAUCCUGGAGUCCCGGACUCUCUCCAUCCCUACCUGUCCUCUGCCUUACCUCCCAUACUGGGUUGGUGUCCCCCCAAAAUCGAUGUCCACACAGAACCUCGGAAUGUGACCUUACUUGGAAAUAGGGUCUUGGCAGAUGUCGUGAAGAUAAGAUGAGGUCAUUCGAGGUUAGCAUGGGCCCUAAAUCCAAUGACUGGUGUCCUCGUAAGAAGAGAAGACACAUGCAAGGAGAAGGCCAUGUGAAGAUGGUGGCAGCGAUUGGAGCGAUGCAGCUACAAGCCAAGGAACGCCAAGGAUUACAGGAAGCCACAGAAGCUGGAAGAGGCCAGGAAGGAUUGUCCCGUAGAGCCCUCGGAGGGAGCACAGCCCUGCUGACACCUUGGUCUGGACUUCUAGCCUCCAGAGCUGUGAGAGGCUAACUCUCUGUUGUUUUCUACACCAGGUUUGCGGUUGUUUGUCACGGCAGCCCCAGCAAACGACUGUACUUCCCUGGGCCCUCCCCACCCUGCCCUCCCCCACACCCAGUGUCAGGCUGCUGCAGGAAAAAACAUCACAAGCAGGUGGUCACAUUCCCCACCUCCUCACAAUUCACCUGGCCAACGUCAGAGCCGGAACACUCUUACAGGCCAUCUUUCCCAAGAAGAUCAGCUCCACCUUUGCCCAGGGCAGCUCUGGGGACAGGCUCUGGCUCCAAGGGGUAGGCCGGGUCCCUGAAGCAGGACCUCAGGGGAGGCAGGCUCUGGGGAGCCCCUCUCCGCUGUCCACCCUGGCAGGCGCCCAGGGGAAUGUGUGUCAACAGACUCUUGUGCUGCAACCACAUGUGGUUUGCUGCUUAGCUUUCCACUGGGAAGCUUGGCUGUGUUUGUCACAAUGGUUAGUGUUCGGUUACGUUUAACCAAGGCUGUGGAGGUAGGGAGUUAGAGUGAGCUGUAUAUAAUCUCUUGUGCACAAAGCCCACGGUAGAAUUGCCUGACCUUCCCUCCCUUCCCAAAUACACAUGACAAAAAGUAAACUGAGAAAGAGGUCAGGUCUCUUUAGAAAUCAGAGUGUUUGAACUCAAUAGCAAAGAGCUGCUGUUUAUUCUAAACUCCAUGAAAUGAGGUGACCUCUCAUCACCAGGUAAGUCAUUGGGACUAUAGGCUUUUUGAAUGCCAAAAGCCAUUCAUUCAUCCACCCAUCCACCCACCCACCCACUUAUCCAUCCAUCACACACCCACCUAUCCAUCCAUCCAUCCAUUUAUCCACCAUCCAUCCAUUCAUCCACCCACCUAUCCAUCUAUCCCAUCCAUCCGUCUAUCCACCAUCCAUCCAUCCAUCUAUCCACUAUCCAUCCAUUCAUCCACCAACGUAUCCAUCCUUCCAUCCAUCCAUCCAUCCACCAUCCAUCCAUUCAUCCACCAACCUAUCCAUCCAUCCAUCCAUCCAUCCAUCCAUCCAUCCAUCAAUCCUUCUGUCCAUCUAUCCAUCCAUCCAAUAUUUGAUAAGUUCCCAUUAUAGUUACUGUAAUGAUAUUAAUAACAGUGGUUCCUAUUCAGUGGCUACUUCCUAAGAGAUAGGCUGUGUACUAAGCACUUUGCAUGCAUCAUCUGUUUAAUUCUGACAAACAAUUCUAUAAAACAGAUGCCAACCCACCCAGUUCCCAGAGGGAAAAAGUGAGGCACAGAGAGUUUAGGUCACUGGCCUAAGACUUCAGAGCCUACUGUGGUAGAUUAAAUAUGACCAGAAGUUCCUUGCUGUUCUCCUGCCAAGGGGUGGAGUCUAUUUCUCCACUCCCCUAAAUCUAGGCUGGUCUCAUGACUUGCUUUGACUAAUAGAAUGUGCCAGAAGUAGUGUUGUGCAAGCUCCAAGCCCAGACCUCAAGGAGCCUGGCAGCUUCUGUCUUUGCUGACUUGGAAUGCUGACCGGAUGUUGGUCUCACCUAGUGGAAGAUGAGAGGCCUCAUGAAGGAGCACUGAGGCCACCCAGCCAACAGCCAGCUGCCACACAUAUGAGGAAAGCCAUCUGGACCUUCCAGCUGAGUGCGCCCAGGCAUGACCAGCAGAGGAAGCACUCAGCUAACCUAUGAAGUCAUGGAAAAUAAUAAAUUGUUGUUUUA